GGUUAAGCGACUAAGCGUACACGGUGGAUGCCCUGGCAGUCAGAGGCGAUGAAGGACGUGCUAAUCUGCGAAAAGCGUCGGUAAGGUGAUAUGAACCGUUAUAGCCGGCGAUGUCCGAAUGGGGAAACCCAGUGCAAUUCGUUGCACUAUCGUUAACUGAAUACAUAGGUUAACGAGGCGAACCGGGGGAACUGAAACAUCUAAGUACCCCGAGGAAAAGAAAUCAACCGAGAUUCCCCCAGUAGCGGCGAGCGAACGGGGAGCAGCCCAGAGUCUGAAUCAGCUUGUGUGUUAGUGGAACGGUCUGGAAAGUCCGACGGUACAGGGUGAUAGUCCCGUACACCAAAAUGCACAGGCUGUGAACUCGAAGAGUAGGGCGGGACACGUGGUAUCCUGUCUGAAUAUGGGGGGACCAUCCUCCAAGGCUAAAUACUCCUGACUGACCGAUAGUGAACCAGUACCGUGAGGGAAAGGCGAAAAGAAC
rnacentral:rRNA from 1 species